AAAGUAUCCACCCAACCACGGCAAGAAAAAAGGACAGUGCUCUCUGGGUCCAAGAUGGCGCAGAUGAAGGCCUGCCCAGCCAUCAGCAAACUCCAGGCAGAGAGAGAAAGGAAGAAAUCACAGGCCUGAGCCGGCUGAGCUGGUCGAGACAAGAGAAAACAGGAGUUUACUAUCCGCUUCCUGAGGAAGACCCAUCCAGUGAGACAGCCUAAUCACAAGAGAAGAAAAUACACGGGAAGUGACAAGCCUGGAGAAUUCAGAAUCCCAAGCCCUCCUUGGCAGCA